AAACUCACCGCUCUUGUAUUGGCAGAUGGAUUCUUUACCACUGAGCCACUUGAGAAGCCCUACUAACCUGAGUACUUCUAUUGCCGAGGAAUAUAUCAAUAUAAAAAUUCCAUAAGCCAGUGACUAGUGGGCUUCACAAUCUGAAUUUCAACAACCUUAUUGAAAUAGCUCCGUGUAAGCAGAGAUAUCCCACAUUAUAAAGUGUGACACCUGACAUUGAAGGAAACCAAGUAUGAAGCUAAUAUAUCUGGGAUGAAGCUCACACUGAAUUGGAAAAGAGGACAGGAUACCAAACUGGUAGGAAAUUUUGGAUCACGUGCUCUGACUCAUGGUUCCGAAUAAAGAGAAAAUGGGCAGAGCAAAGGGGCAAAUAAAGAAAGGAUCUCUUUGCUCCCAACUGUGCUUCCAUCCUCUGAAGCCUGUUGAUGAAGCCCUGGAGACAUCAUUAAUUUCUCUCGCUGCCUUCCUUAAGCCUGAGUGGCCAGCCAUGAAAAGAUGGGGCUGGCCCUCUGCUGCUGAGGAUGACUCUAGUGCUCAUCCUGGCCCGGAAGAAACUGAAAGUGAAGUUAAUACCCAAAGAAUAAGUGAAUGCUGGCUGCCGUGGGAAAACAUUCCAGCAGAGUGGCCAGUAGGAUGGCUGAAAUAAUUGUGGACCCAGACCAUCUGCGGCUGCCUUUUCCAGCACCUUCCUGUGGACAGCUCCAGGG